GCAAACGUAAUUCAGUCUUAAGCGCACUUGGCAAAGAGCAACUGCGGUUUUCCCCACUUGUGGUUAAAACGUUAACCAGGCCGUCGCAAUCUGUCCAAUCUGUCUUUCAACAUGAGAAGCUUACUAUUCAUAUGUGGCAUCCUUCUUUUCGCCAGUUUAAUAAACAAUUCUAACGGAGUUCCUGUAGGGGAGGAAGCGGAAGCAGGCGACUGUCCAAACUUGGAAAACGAGGAAUGGAACAUUGGAAACUGCAACCAUUGCUAUUGCCGAAAUGGAGAAGUGUUUUGCGAGAGUACAUGCGCGGAGAAUCAAUGAUUUAAAAAAAUGAACUGUAAUUUGUGGGGACGUUCUGUUACAAUAGAAAGGACGUUAUCUUUAGUGAAUAACCUGGAGGAGCAGAUCAUUCAAAACUGUUGUUAAAGGCAAUAAAGUAGACUGACAUAGAAACGAUUUCA